rnacentral:rRNA from 1 species
AACGAACGCUGGCGGCAUGCCUAACACAUGCAAGUCGAACGAGACCUUCGGGUCUAGUGGCGCACGGGUGCGUAACGCGUGGGAAUCUGCCCUUGGGUUCGGAAUAACUUCGGGAAACUGAAGCUAAUACCGGAUGAUGACGUAAGUCCAAAGAUUUAUCGCCCAAGGAUGAGCCCGCGUAGGAUUAGCUAGUUGGUGAGGUAAAGGCUCACCAAGGCGACGAUCCUUAGCUGGUCUGAGAGGAUGAUCAGCCACACUGGGACUGAGACACGGCCCAGACUCCUACGGGAGGCAGCAGUGGGGAAUAUUGGACAAUGGGCGAAAGCCUGAUCCAGCAAUGCCGCGUGAGUGAUGAAGGCCUUAGGGUUGUAAAGCUCUUUUACCCGGGAUGAUAAAUGACAGUACCGGGAGAAUAAAGCUCCGGCUAAACUCCGUGCCAGCAGCCGCGGUAAAGUGACUACUG